AUGGCGAGGUUUGCUGCCCUCGCCGUGUGCGCCGCUGCGCUUCUGCUCGCCGUGGCGGUGGGCGGCGCCGCGGCGCAGGGCGUGGGCUCGGUCAUCACGCGGUCGGUGUACGCGAGCAUGCUGCCCAACCGCGACAACUCGCUGUGCCCGGCCCGGGGGUUCUACACGUACGACGCCUUCAUCGCCGCCGCCAACACCUUCCCGGGCUUCGGCACCACCGGCAGCGCCGACGACAUCAAGCGCGACCUCGCUGCCUUCUUCGGCCAGACCUCGCACGAGACCACCGGUACGAGAGGGACGAGAGGCGCUGCCGACCAGUUCCAAUGGGGCUACUGCUUCAAGGAAGAGAUAAGCAAGGCCACGUCUCCACCCUACUAUGGACGGGGACCCAUCCAAUUGACAGGGCGGUCCAACUACGAUCUCGCCGGGAGAGCCAUUGGGAAGGACCUGGUGAGCAACCCGGACCUAGUGUCCACGGACGCGGUGGUGUCCUUCAGGACGGCCAUGUGGUUCUGGAUGACGGCGCAGGGCAACAAGCCGUCGAGCCACAACGUCGCCCUACGCCGCUGGACACCGACGGCCGCUGACACCGCUGCCGGCCGGGUGCCCGGAUACGGAGUAAUCACCAAUAUCAUCAACGGCGGGCUCGAGUGCGGCAUGGGCCGGAACGACGCUAACGUCGACCGCAUCGGCUACUACACGCGCUACUGCAGCAUGCUCGGCACGUCGACCGGGGGCAACCUCGACUGCUACACACAGAGGAACUUCGCUAGCUAG
rnacentral:rRNA from 1 species